GGUCACUGAGGAAGAAUAUAAGUUAGCCUCGUAGUGACCAUGUGGAAGUCCUGACCUCGCUUGCAGACUUGACCUCUGGAUGUGACAAGAAAUGCUGAAUCAGCAAAUAGAGUGAACGAACAAUCAAGAUGAGAUGGCUGCUGUUGAUGUGAUUCUCUAGGUUACUACCUUUCUUCCUGCUGCAAAUGCUGCAUGACACUAAGCUUACAGGAUCUAGAAGCAGACUACAAAAAAAGAAGAAAUUCACUCUGAAGACUGAAGAAACACUAGGCUGAUCUUAAGUUUCCGAAAUACACUCUGUAACACUACACUGAUUCUUUGAAUCUCUUGCAAAAAGAAUCAAACCAGGACAAAGUUCAACAGAUAACUGGUCAAAUGCUUAGGAAUGUCUAUGUCCACCAAGAAUAUGGAACCAUUAAUGCCAUGCUUCAGGUAAACUUGUUACAAAAUUUAGUCUUCGAUAAAUUAGUCUCUGCAAAUGAUUUACCAUUGCUCUACAUUAGUAAGCUGAAUGUUUCACUAACAAAUAAGAAAAUAAAAUAUUUCAUGUUUUUACAGCUAACAACUUAGUAAUACCUACUCAGAGUA
ensembl:lncRNA MIR133A1HG MIR133A1 host gene